ACUUAUGUGCAGUGGCAAUGUCAUAACCAAUGACGGUCUCCUGAGUUGUGAUUAGUACUAGUUGAAAGCUUUAACCAAUACCCAGCUACGAUGAAAUGAAACAUUUUUUGUUGUCGGCAAUUGUUGACAGCUCCAGCAGAAG
rfam:Daphnia magna strain Xinb3 scaffold02970, whole genome shotgun sequence.